CGGAGGGUGCAAGCGUUAUCCGGAUUCACUGGGUUUAAAGGGUGCGUAGGUGGCUUUGUAAGUCAGUGGUGAAAUCUCGGAGCUUAACUCCGAAACUGCCAUUGAUACUGCUUAGCUUGAAUCAGGUAGAGGUGGAUGGAAUAUUACAUGUAGCGGUGAAAUGCUUAGAUAUGUAAUAGAACACCGAUUGCGAAGGCAGUUCACUAUGCCUGCAUUGACACUGAGGCACGAAAGCGUGGGGAUCAAACAGGAUUAGAUACCCUGGUAGUCCACGCCCUAAACGAUGUAAACUCGACAUUAGCGAUAUACAGUUAGUGUCCAAGCGAAAGCGUUAAGUUUACCACCUGGGAAGUACGACCGCAAGGUUG
rnacentral:rRNA from 1 species